rnacentral:ncRNA from 2 species
CUCUUAUCCAGAGCGGUAGAGGGACUGGCCCUUUGAAGCCCAGCAACCUACACUUUUUGUUGUAAGGUGCUAACCUGAGCAGGAGAAAUCCUGACCGAUGAGAG